rnacentral:rRNA from 1 species
UACAGAGGUGCUCAAGCGUUUGAUUCGGAAUUCAUUGGGCGUAAAGGGUGUGUAGGUGGGCGGUCCGUAAGAUCGGGGUGUGGAAAAUUUCCGGGAGCCUUUAACUACCGAAACUUGCAUUCGAUACUGCGGGUGUCUUGAGGACUGGAGAGGGGAGAACUCGGAAUUCAUGGUGUAGCAGUGAAAUGCGUAGAGAUCAUGAGGAAGACCGUGCGAAGGCGGGUCCUGCUGACAUCUGACACUGAGACGAAAGGCCAGGGAGGCAAACGGG